CGGGUGGUAAUGCCGGAUGCUCCAUCACACCGCAUGGUGUGUUGGGAAAGCCUUUGCGGCAUGGGAUGGGGUCGCGUCCUAUCAGCUUGAUGGCGGGGUAACGGCCCACCAUGGCUUCGACGGGUAGCCGGCCUGAGAGGGCGACCGGCCACAUUGGGACUGAGAUACGGCCCAGACUCCUACGGGAGGCAGCAGUGGGGAAUAUUGCACAAUGGGCGCAAGCCUGAUGCAGCGACGCCGCGUGAGGGAUGGAGGCCUUCGGGUUGUAAACCUCUUUUGUUAGGGAGCAAGGCACUUCGUGUUGAGUGUACCUUUCGAAUAAGCACCGGCUAACUACGUGCCAGCAGCCGCGGUAAUACGUAGGGUGCAAGCGUUAUCCGGAAUUAUUGGGCGUAAAGGGCUCGUAGGCGGUUCGUCGCGUCCGGUGUGAAAGUCCAUCGCUUAACGGUGGAUCCGCGCCGGGUACGGGCGGGCUUGAGUGCGGUAGGGGAGACUGGAAUUCCCGGUGUAACGGUGGAAUGUGUAGAUAUCGGGAAA
rnacentral:rRNA from 1 species